GACGAACGCUGGCGGCGUGCUUAACACAUGCAAGUCGAACGGAAAGGCCCGGCUUUUGGGGGGUGCUCGAGUUGCGAACGGGUGAGUAACACGUGAGUAACCUGUCCUUGACUUUGGGAUAACUUCAUGAAACUUGGUCUAAUACCGGAUAGGAUCUCCUGCUUCAUGGUGGGCGUUGGUAAGUUUCGGCGGUUGGGGGUGUACUCGCGGCUUAUCAGCUUGUUGGUGGGGUAGUGGCUUACCAUGGCUUUGACGGGUAGCCGGCCUGGGAGGGUCGACGGCCACAUUGGGACUGAGAUACGGCGCAGACUAGUAUCGGAGGCAGAAGUGGAGAAUAUUACAUAGUAGGCGGGAGCCUGAUGCAGUCAAGCAGCGUGCGGGAUGACGGGCUUCGGGUUGUAAACCGAUUUCGCCUGAGCCGAAGCGUGAGUGACGGUAAUGGGUAAAGAAGCACCGGCUAACUACGUG
rnacentral:rRNA from 1 species